rnacentral:rRNA from 1 species
AGCAUGUGGUUUAAUUCGAAGAUACACGAAGAACCUUACCUGGCCUUGACAUGGUAGGAACCUUAAGAGAUUAGGGGUGCUAGCUUGCUAGAACCUACACACAGGUGCUGCACGGCUGUCGUCAGCUCGUGUCGUGAGAUGUUGGGUUAAGUCCCGCAACGAGCGCAACCCUCGUCCUUAGUUGCUAACAGUUCGGCUGAGCACUCUAGGGAGACUGCCUUCGCAAGGAGGAGGAAGGUGAGGACGACGUCAAGUCAUCAUGGCCCUUACGGCCAGGGCUACACACGUGCUACAAUGGGGCGUACAGAGAGCUGCGAUACCGCGAGGUGGAGCCAAUCUCUUAAAGCGUCUCUCAGUUCGGAUUGUUCUCUGCAACUCGAGAACAUGAAGCUGGAAUCACUAGUAAUCGCAGAUCAGCUAUGCUGCGGUGAAUACGUUCCCGGGUCUU